ACGCUCGACACCUACGGGAGGCGGCAGUGGGGAAUAUUGGGCAAUGGGCGCAAGCCUGACCCAGCAACGCCGCGUGAAGGAAGAAGGCUUUCGGGUUGUAAACUUCUUUUAUUAAGGACGAAGCAAUGACGGUACUUAAUGAAUAAGCUCCGGCUAACUACGCGCCAGCAGCCGCGGUAAUCUGAGCGGGCUGGCAAGGC
rnacentral:rRNA from 1 species